UGAUCCUACGGGGGGCAGCAGUGGGGAAUAUUGCACAAUGGGGGAAACCCUGAUGCAGCGACGCCGCGUGAGUGAAGAAGUAUCUCGGUACGUAAAGCUCUAUCAGCAGGAAAGAAAAUGACGGUACCUGACUAAGAAGCCCCGGCUAACUACGUGCCAGCAGCCGCGGUAAUACGUAGGGGGCAAGCGUUAUCCGGAUUCACUGGGUGUAAAGGGAGCGUAGACGGCCAA
rnacentral:rRNA from 1 species